AGUCUAAAACCAAACGAUACCUUCAGGGUCACACCCUAUUCAUUCUGGGCUUUUGGAUCCAAGGUGGUUCCAGAUCCAGUUAAGGCCCAUUUUAUAGCAUUGAAUUCCAAUUUACAUGCGGUCACUUUGCAGCUGCUUGAAAACUGCUUGAACCACUGCUGCUUUGCUGCCGUCGUCCGCCGUUUGUCUCCGGCAGAGUUAUUCGAGUUAAAGGUAGUAAAGAUCCAUGGAUGAAAGUUUAUACGAUGAAUUUGGGAACUAUAUCGGUCCUGAAAUUGAGUCUGAUCAGGAAAGUGAUAGGGAAGAGGAAGAUGAGGAGCUCCCUGAGAGAAGUGAUGAUGAGAGGGCUGCAUCUGAUGGCGAGCAACCUGGUGCAUCGAAUGGAUGGCUGGCCACUCAAGAGGAUGUUGACAUGGAUAACCAAGUUGUCCUUGCUGAAGACAAGAAAUACUACCCAACAGCCGAAGAGGUUUACGGUGAAGAGGUCGAGACAUUGGUGAUGGAUGAAGAUGAACAGCCUCUUGAAAUGCCGAUAAUUAAACCGGUGAAGAAUCUCAAGUUUGAACUUGGGGUAAAGGAUUCGUCCACCUAUGUUUCGACUCAAUUUCUCUUAGGUCUGAUGUUGAACCCAGCAUUGGUUCGAAAUGUUGCUUUAGUGGGACACGUGUAUCACGGGAUGACUUUGUUUAUGGAUAUGCUGGUGGAGCAAACCCACCAUAUAUCUACUUUUGAUCAGAAUAGUGAGAAGCAUAUGAGGUAUACAGACACAAGAAUAGAUGAGCAAGAAAGGAGGAUAUCAAUUAAGUCUGUCCCUAUGUCACUCGUCCUGGAAGACAGCAAUUCAAAGUCUUACCUCUGCAACAUUAUGGAUGCUCCUGGUCAUGUCAACUUCUCGGAUGAGAUGACAGCUGCUUUGAGACUUUCUGAUGGUGCAGUUUUGAUUGUUGAUGCUGUUGAAGGAGUGAUGGUAAAUACAGAACGGGCCAUUCGGCAUGCGAUUCAAGAACGUAUUCCUAUUGUUCUUGUGAUUAACAAGGUGAACAGACUGAUAACUGAGCUUAAAUUGCCUCCAAAGGAUGCUACUUCAAAUUAAAGCACAUAAUGAAGCUGUCAACAAUCAAGUUACAGCUUGCCUCGUCCAUAGCUGAAAUGCACAAGUAUUCGAUCCUGCGUUAGGGAAUGUCUGCUUUGCAACAACAGCAGGUGGUCGUUCACACUGCAGUCAUUUGCCAAACUGUAUGUUAAGCUUCAUGGAGUUGCAUUUGAUGCCAACAAGUUUGCUUCGCGGCUUUGGGGGGACUUCUACUUUGAUCCUGACACAAGAAGUUUCAAAAGAAAAACACCUGCAAGUGGGUCGAAAGAUCUUUUGUGCAGUUCGUUCUUGAACCUCUUUACAAAAUCUAUAGCCAAGUGAUUGGAGAGCACAAGAAGAGUGUUGAAAGGCAACCCUGGCAGAACUUGGUUGUGACGCUUGGCAAUGCAGCUUACCGCCUAAAUGUUAGGCCCUCUUCUGAGGCUGGCUUGUAGUGCUGUUUUUGGCACUGCCACUGGCUUUACUGACAUGGUGGUUCAUCACAUUCCUUCUGCUAAAAGCUGCUGCAGCUGAGGAAAGUGGAGCACAUAUAACACGGUCCAAGGAUUCAGCAAUUUACAAAGCAAUGGAAAAUUGUGACUCCGCUGGCCCUUUGAUGGUUAAUGUGACCAAGCUGUAUCCCAAAUCGGAUUGGUAGUGUUUUGAUGCUUUCGGUAGGGUUUACAGCGGGGAAAUAAUGGCAGGGCAGACAGUACGCGUUUUGGAGAGGGCUAUUCACCUGAGGAUGAAGAGGAUAUGACUGUUAAAGAAGUCACAAAGCUGUGGGUAUAUCAAGCUCGAUACAGGAUACCCAUAAGUAAGGCUCCUCCAGGUGCUUGGGUGUUGAUUGAAGGAGUGGAUGCUUCAAUCAUGAAAACUGCUACUCUUUGUAACUCGGAAUUUGGCGAGGAUGUGUACAUAUUCCGGCCCCUUCAGUUCAAUACUCUUCCCGUGGUGAAAACAGCAACUGAGCCUUUGAAUCCUAGCGAGUUGCCCAAAAUGGUGGAGGGGCUUAGGAAAAUCAGCAAGAGUUAUCCUCUUGCAAUCACAAAGGUUGAAGAGUCUGGUGAACACACAAUAUUGGGUACUGGUGAAUUGUACCUAGAUUCCAUAAUGAAGGACCUUAGGGGCUUUACUCCGAGGUGGAAGUGAAGGUGGCUGAUCCAGUUGUUUCAUUCUGCGAACUGUAGUGGAGUCCGUUUCAAUGAAAUGUUUUGCUGAAACACCUAAUAAGAAAAAUAAAAUCACCAUGAUUGCGGAACCAUUAGAGAGAGGACUUGCUGAGGACAUCGGGAAACAGUGUUGUAAGCAUAGAUUGGCCUAGAAAGAAACUUGUGACUUUUUUCACAAACCAAAUAUGACUGGGAUCUGCUUCUGCACGAUCUAUUUGGGCAUUUGGACCUGAUAAGCAGGGACCUAACAUCUUAUUGGAUGAUACACUCUCCAGUGAAGUGGACAAGAGCUUGUUGAAUGCUGUUAAAGAUUCUAUUGUUCAGGGGUUUCAAUGGGGAGCUCGGGAAGGACCCCUAUGUGUAUGAGCCCAUUAGAAAUGUUAAAUUCAAAAUAGUUGAGUGCAAAGAUUGCACUUUGAGCCACUUAAUCGUGGAACAGGUCAGAUUAUUCCAACUGCACGACGUGUAGCCUACUCUUCUUUCCUUAUGGCGACACCCAGGCUUAUGGAACCUGUGUAUUAUGUGGAGAUCCAAACACCCAUGGAUUGCCUCUCUGCUACAUACACCGUGUUGUCUCGCAGGCGUGGACAUGUUACUGCUGAUGUUCCUCAACCUGGGACCCCUGCCUACAUCGUCAAGGCAUUUUUACCUGUUAUCGAGUCCUUUGGUUUCGAAACCGACUUGAGGUAUCACACCCAAGGGCAGGCGUUUUGUCUUUCAGUUUUUGAUCAUUGGGCUAUUGUUCCUGGAGAUCCUCUUGACAAGAGCAUCGUUUUACGACCACUAGAGCCUGCCCCAAUUCAGCAUCUGGCUCGUGAGUUCAUGGUGAAGACAAGGCGUAGAAAGGGAAUGAGUGAAGAUGUGAGCAUCAACAAAUUCUUUGAUGAGGCUAUGAUGGUGGAGCUUGCGCAGCAGGAUGCUGAUCUUCACCUGCAGAUGAUGUAGAUAUCACAUAGCUGAGGUGGUUUUGUAUGUUAUGUAGCCGACAGCCUCUUGAAAGAUAUUGUAGCCGACAGCCUCUUGAAAUAUGUAAUAGUCUAGUACAAAUUUGGCAUACCAGGAGCAUGAAUAGUUCCUGCGUAACUCUCCCUUUGAGCUCAUCUAUUUGUUGGGAUAAUCCCUUACUCUAACAUUCGAGUAUCUGUGGUGAUUUCCUCUCCAUCAAAGGGUAGAUUCUCGCACGACUGGCAUUAAGUAUGAGAUUUCUGUUGGCUCAGGCGUAUUGAAUUACUGGGCACUUGUUCAAGUUCUUACUUUAUCCUCUUUUAGCACGUUCUUUGGAUUCUAUAUAGCCUAAAGGUUGAACUCAUUUUAGCUUUGCCAGAAGUUCCUUUUUUAUUUUAGGUGAGUUUUGUAACAUUUGAUCCCAGUUUUACAGGAUGAGAGUCUCAUAUUUGGUUAACUAUGUAACCACUAUGUAAGCUAAAGAUUGAAGAUUAUAUGAAAAUUCACUGCUAGAUAACUUGUUUACUACGCGAAAAUGUAAUAAAUUAAUUAUUACUAGUU